rnacentral:rRNA from 1 species
ACGCUGGCGGCGUGCCUAAUACAUGCAAGUCGAACGAGAGCGACCGGUGCUUGCACUGGCCAAUCUAGUGGCGAACGGGUGAGUAACACGUGGGUAACCUGCCCAUCAGAGGGGGAUAACAUUCGGAAACGGAUGCUAAAACCGCAUAGGUCUUCGAACCGCAUGGUUUGAAGAGGAAAAGAGGCGCAGGCUUCUGCUGAUGGAUGGACCCGCGGUGCAUUAGCUAGUUGGUGAGGUAACGGCUCACCAAGGCCGUGAUGCAUAGCCGACCUGAGAGGGUGAUCGGCCACAUUGGGACUGAGACACGGCCCAAACUCCUACGGGAGGCAGCAGUAGGGAAUCUUCCGCAAUGGACGCAAGUCUGACGGAGCAACGCCGCGUGAGUGAAGAAGGUUUUCGGAUCGUAAAACUCUGUUGUUAGAGAAGAACAAGUGCUAGAGUAACUGUUAGCGCCUUGACGGUAUCUAA